rnacentral:tRNA from 1 species
GGGCCUGUAGCUCAGCUUGGAUAGAGCACUAGAACAAUAUAUGUGGUGAACCUUCUAUUUUAAGAGGAGUAAGCUAGGGGUCGAGGGUUCAAAUCCCUUCGGGCCCG